rnacentral:rRNA from 1 species
UAGGGAAUCUUCCACAAUGGGCGAAAGCCUGAUGGAGCAACGCCGCGUGUGUGAUGGAGGGUUUCGGCUCGUAAAACACUGUUGUAAGAGAAGAAUGACAUUGAGAGUAACUGUUCAAUGUGUGACGGUAUCUUACCAGAAAGGAACGGCUAAAUACGUGUCAG